rnacentral:tRNA from 1 species
GGGGAGAUACCGAAGUGGUCAAACGGGGCGGAUUGUAAAUCCGCUGGCUCUGCCUACAGAGGUUCAAGUCCUCUUCUCCCCACCA